UGGGGAAUUUUGGGCAAUGGGCGAAAGCCUGACCCAGCAACGCCGCGUGAAGGAUGAAGUAUUUCGGUAUGUAAACUUCGAAAGAAUAGGAAGAAUAAAUGACGGUACUAUUUAUAAGGUCCGGCUAACUACGUGCCAGCAGCCGCGGUAAUACGUAGGGACCAAGCGUUGUUCGGAUUUACUGGGCGUAAAGGGCGCGUAGGCGGCAAUUCAAGUCAUCUGUGAAAUCUCCGGGCUUAACUCGGAACGGUCAGAUGAUACUGCUUUGCUAGAGUGCAGAAGGGGCAAUCGGAAUUCUUGGUGUAGCGGUGAAAUGCGUAGAUAUCAAGAGGAACACCUGAGGUGAAGACGGGUUGCUGGGCUGACACUGACGCUGAGGCGCGAAAGCCAGGGGAGCAAACGGGAUUAGAUACCCCAGUAGUCCCUGAGCGGGCUGGCAAGGCGCAU
rnacentral:rRNA from 1 species